rnacentral:tRNA from 1 species
CGAGCUCCUGGAGGGCGGCGGCCCGCUCGGCUCCUCCUACGGGCUGCUGAGGGAACUGGAGUUCGUCGCCCCGGCCCUCGGC